ACAGUCCAUCGUUGUAAUCAAAGGGUGCCACCACUUUCCUUCUGUGACAGCUCAGCCUCGCCAAUCAAAACUCACUUGAGGGCGGCUGUAGCCAAUGAGAUGUCACCGGAGUUUUUUUGUUCGGCCAAUAAGAGCCCCGCCCCGCCGCCAGACCCACAGCAGCUGCCGGAGUUCCUCAUUUCCCUGCUGGAUCCAGCAAAACCUCUCAGCUGGCCCCAUUCUCACCCCAGCUCCAGUACACAGUACUGAAAUCAAGAAUAAAGAAAAGCUGAAGCAACCAACUUUGGGGAAAUGGAGUUAAGGAAGGCAAGAGACCAAGUUGUUUUCUCCUCUUUCUCCUUUGCUUGCUUGUCCUCACUUACUUGAAACUUCAUUUUGCUUAGCUUUUUCAUGGAAGGAAGGGUGUACGUCUGCUACUGAGUUUCCAUUUACAUUGCUUCAAAAUUGACUCUGAAUUUGGAUUCCUGCUGGUUGCUAUUGGGGUAGAUGGGAUUGUUCUGUUUGAUUCUUGCUGUUUGAUCACUGAUUUCUUUUUACAUCUAGUAUUCUCAAUUGAAUACUGCAAAAUGCCCUGGGGAUGUUAGGAGAUUUUAGAUAAACUAGUAAACACAAAUGGAAAAAAAUAAUUGUAUCUAUAAAAGAAAGACAGUUUUUAAGGUCUACAGGACUCGGAGUUUGCAGGAGUUUAAAAUAAGAGAGGCAGGCUGGCUGCACUUUUAAAAACUGUUUUUUUUAGGGUCCAAAGACUACAGGACUGGGGAUGGUCACAUAAUGACGACAUUGGAAGAAUCUGGAAUGCUGCCUUUAACUUGAUUUGUUCAUUUUUGUUUUUACUUUCAAAGAUGCAAUAAACAUCUUGAAGAUUUAACACAUUUUUUAAAAAAAACAUUAAAAAGUUCAGUGGACAGUUUAUCCUUGUUAUUACAACUAUUUGUGUAUUGUUGGAGCAUUCAAAGUACUUCACACAGUUUUUCUGGAUUCAAUCCUUAUAACUGCAGGAGACUAGAAUGAAUGAUAUUUUUGCUUAGCAAGAAAAGAAAAUUUUUAAAAAGAGUGAAAAAUGUAUCCUUUUCUAAUUUUUAUGUUUAUGUUUUAACAGUUCUAUAAAUCUUCAUUUCCCAAAGUUUUCCAGUAUCAUUACUCUUUUCCAUUUAUAAUUGUUGUUCUGUCUAUUAAAAAUCCGUUAUUCAAAGAAUGAAUGAAGUUAUUAGCAUAUACCCAGCUUCUCCAAUGUAUUGCUCUUACAAUAUUAAUUUGCACAUAAAGACUCUCCAACGAAGGUCCGAGUUUUUAUUUUUAAAAUUAUGUUAUUAAAAAAGCAGGAAAUGACGCACUACAAAGCAGGGGUAGCUUUUGUGUUAUCUUUAAGAAUAAAUGUAUUUUGGAUGACUUUGUCUGGAGUUUUGAUUCAUCAGCCCCAAAAAUAAAUAAAGGAGAUAGAAACAUUCUGGAAAUGUAAUUAGGUGUUAAAGAAUAUACUUAGCAAUUUAUGGUCUUCUAAGUGAGUGUCUUGGGACCGGCUAUAUCUAUCAAUAUCUACUAUAUCAUUUUGAGAGAAUGCCACUAACUCAAAA